rnacentral:precursor_RNA from 14 species
UGGCCCUGCAAAAGGUGUGAUGUUGGGUAAGGGGACAGGGAUUGGUGUGGGGGUCUCAUUUCUACCACCUCACACCUUGACCUGUCAACCUUACCCACAUUACCAUAUCAACGAUUAAGUAU